rnacentral:rRNA from 1 species
AUUGCACGCUGGCGGCACGCCUAACACAUGCAAGUCGAACGAGUGGCGGACGGGUGAGUAAUGUCUGGGAAACUGCCUGAUGGAGGGGGAUAACUACUGGAAAAGGUAGCUAAUACCGCAUACCAUCAGAUGUGCCCCGAUGGGAUUAGCGUGUUGGUGGUUUAUCGGCUCACCAAGGCGACGAUCCCUAGCUGGGCUGAGUGAAUGACCAGCCACACUGGAACGCAUACACGGUCCAGAAUCCUACUGGAGGCAGCUGGGGGGAAUAUGGCACAAUGGGCGCAAGCCUGAUGCAGCCAUGCCGCGUGUAUGAAGAAGGCCUUCGGGUUGUAAAGUACUUUCAGCGGGGAGGCGUUACCCGCAGAAGAAGCUCCGGCUAACUCCGUGACAGCAGCCGCGGUAAUAC